GUGGGGAAUUUUGGACAAUGGGCGCAAGCCUGAUCCAGCAAUGCCGCGUGCAGGAAGAAGGCCUUCGGGUUGUAAACUGCUUUUGUAUGGAACGAAACGGUCCUGGUUAAUACCUGGGGCUAAUGACGGUACCGUAAGAAUAAGCACCGGCUAACUACGUGCCAGCAGCCGCGGUAAUACGUAGGGUGCGAGCGUUAAUCGGAAUUACUGGGCGUAAAGCGUGCGCAGGCGGUGCUGUAAGACAGGCGUGAAAUCCCCGGGCUCAACCUGGGAAUUGCGCUUGUGACUGCAGUGCUGGAGUGCGGCAGAGGGGGAUGGAAUUCCGCGUGUAGCAGUGAAAUGCGUAGAUAUGCGGAGGAACACCGAUGGCGAAGGCAAUCCCCUGGGCCUGCACUGACGCUCAUGCACGAAAGCGUGGGGAACAAACAGGAUUAGAUACCCGUGUAGUCC
rnacentral:rRNA from 1 species